rnacentral:rRNA from 1 species
UACGUAGGGUGCAAGCGUUAAUCGGAAUUACUGGGCGUAAAGCGUGCGCAGGCGGUUGUGCAAGACAGAUGUGAAAUCCCCGGGCUCAACCUGGGAAUUGCAUUUGUGACUGCACGGCUAGAGUGUGUCAGAGGGGGGUAGAAUUCCACGUGUAGCAGUGAAAUGCGUAGAUAUGUGGAGGAAUACCGAUGGCGAAGGCAGCCCCCUGGGAUAACACUGACGCUCAUGCA